GAUGAACGCUGGCGGCGUGCCUAAUACAUGCAAGUCGAGCGAACAGACGAGGAGCUUGCUCCUCUGACGUUAGCGGCGGACGGGUGAGUAACACGUGGAUCACCUACCUAUAAGACUGGGAUAACUUCGGGAAACCGGCGCUAAUACCGGAUAAUAUAUUGAACCGCAUGGUUCAAUAGUGAAAGACGGUUUUGCUGUCACUUAUAUAUGGAUCCGCGCCGCAUUAGCUAGUUGGUAAGGUAACGGCUUACCAAGGCAACGAUGCGUAGCCGACCUGAGAGGGUGAUCGGCCACACUGGAACUGAGACACGGUCAAGACUCCUACGGGAGGCAGAAGUAGGGAAUCUUCCGCAAUGGGAGAAAGCCUGACGGAGCAACGCCGCGUGAGUGAUGAAGGUCUUCGGAUCGUAAAACUCUGUUAUUAGGGAAGAACAAAUGUGUAAGUAACUAUGCACGUCUUGACGGUACCUAAUCAGAAAGCCACGGCUAACUACGUG
rnacentral:rRNA from 1 species